AGGCCAUCUUCUGUUUCGGCUCCAAAGCUCAUAUUUGAAUAAGCGCCGGACAAACAUGACCCCCCCCCCUCUCCCCUGCACACAGUUAGCCGGACACGCUACGCAGCGUCAUAUUGGGAACGAUGCGCUAACUUGCCGCGCGUUAAUCCGCGCCCACUUUGCCAAGCCGCUUUCUCCUCGGCAGGCCUAACAAUGCUCAAGUCACUUUUUCUCUCCGACUCGCUCAUUCCCUCGCUCUCCCUCCUUCUUGCGAACAACAACAAACCAUAAUCCUUUGGACGGAGCGAGUGAAGCGCGCGGGAAUAAGCAGACACGAGUAAAGCGCUCGACUUCAAUCAAGUCUCGGCAGAACGCGGCGGCGUGGAACAGAUGCCGCAGACACGUCAGGGAGGGGACUAAUUAGGCCGAGCGUCCAGAUGCUAAGAGAGGCCAAAUCUUCCAGACGGAAAAGCGAGCGCAGGAAAGCGGCCGGUGGCGGAUACUAAAGUAGCGAGCUGUUGUCUACAGACACGGACGCUGGGAUCAAUAUGAUUGCCCGGACAGCUCGCGCACGCCUGUUCCACUUCCUGGCUGUCGACGCCUCGAUCUCUGUGACACGUCGAAUCAAAGAGGACGUCGGAGGAUGUGUGCAAAUGUGGCAUGACCUCCAUCGCAGCUCAACUGGAUUCAACAGCGAAUAGAGCGCCUCAUUGUCACAAAUGUAUUCUGGAAGCAGAUGUAUUUUGACAAUUCCCCCUCUUCCGCUUCUCGUCAUCCAGGCCCGUCAGUAUGAUUUUCAAGCUUGACAAAAGACCGAAGCAGUAAUUACAAACGUCUGAGAAACGUUUACCUAUCGAGUGCGCGCUUAACCCGGCUCGGAUGCUGACAAGCCGGGGCUAAACAUUAGAACGUCAUUAACCGGCAAUUAAAUUACAAUCGGCAUAACAAAAGAUGGGUGACAUUUAAAUCCAUGAAUUGAGGAAGGAUUAGAAGCAAAGCGCUACUUCUCUCGGGAUGCGUUAUCAUCCAACACUGCGGCGUGAUUUCAUAAAACUUGCUAGCAGCGGGUGGGCUUUGCUUAUCUCAACAAGUUAAGCCACCCGGCUGUGCGGGGGAGCCCCCCCGGUUUCAAAAAGAAAACAAAAAAAAUACAAAUAGUGUUCCUGAAUUCCUCUUUUUAGGUGCUAGGACCGAUAAAUGAAAUAUGAACGCAAACGGUAUGGACCGACUGGACGCUCAGCCAAAAAAGUACACUUAUUACUUGGCACCACCGCUAAAAAGCAGCCGUUAAAUCGUCCAUCACGGUUUGCGGAUUGCGAGAUCACGUCAAGUCGUUUCUCUCGGCAGCCUUUUUAUUGGCUUUAAGAGUCAAUCCAAGGCUAGCUCUUUAAGGCACAGCGGAUCUUCGGCAUAUUAAUUUGGGCUUUGUCUUUCUUACAACCAUUUUCAGAAGCACUUAGUUACAGUAAGUUACAAGCCUUAAUCCGUUUUUUGGAGCAUGUCUAUAAAAGCAAAAUGUUGAUCUUAAGUGCAUGAAAUGGCCUCUUUGCAAUUAACAAGGCUGUAUUGAUCAGUCGGAGCUAUGCAUUUGAAUGCAUAGAAUGAGUCAUGACGACAAAAAUAAUAUCCUAAUAUGACGACAAACAUAGUCCAAUUUCAGAUUUAAAAUAUCAUAUGACAACUAAUAACAAUGAAAAGUGAUCCUACUUCAUGGGCUUGAAGAGCGCCUGUCCGUAGUUCUGGAAGGUCAUAAUGAGCUUGAGUUGGGUGCCUCCAGAUUUCAUCGCUGUUGGAGUAAAACAAAAAAAAAAUCAAAAUAAAAACCUGUUCGUAGAAUGCAAGAAUAUUUUCUGAAGGGACAAAAUCAUAUUGUGAAUUUAAAUGACAACUCUGGCUUAGUAGGAGCUUGCGUAUUCAAAUUAUAGCCAUGACUCGACAAGCUAGCUAUCAACAAAGCGCUAAUGGAUAUACCCACGCAAUGAGUUUUAUCAUGUUUUGUUUUACCAAACAGGUAAACAAAAUUAUGACUUAAGUCCAUUAAGCCCCAUAUCAUCCAAAGCCCCCGUUUUCAGAAAAGCUUUUCACAUAAAACUCCCAAAAUGAAACAACAUUUAAUAAACCUAUUAUGCAUGAUAAGAGGAAGUAUGCGUUUGCGCCCGCCGGGCUUUCCGCUAAUGUUUGACGCUUUAACAAAGUAGGAGCAAUGCCUGUUUACAUCAUUUAAUAGCCCCAAAGCUGCAUCACAACACAAUACACGUGUCAAUCUACAAACAUUU